AGCUUUAUAGUCAAUAUAUGAUAUUAGGUUGCAAACUUAAAGUAGUAUUUAUACUAAAGCUU
rnacentral:tRNA from 1 species